ensembl:snoRNA
GCGCUCCCAUGAUGACGUGCACUGGGCUCCGAGUCAGCGUGGGGACAAAAGUGCAUCUCUGGCCCUGACAAGCCAGAGCUUCUGAGGAGAAA